rnacentral:lncRNA from 1 species
AUGGUCUUAGAGGUCAGUGAUCCAUGGAGGAUCCAGAUGCCUUCAUCUUGGGCACAGAAUGAAGCCUUGCUGGACAAAGGGAGCCAGGCAGAUGAUUUCGAUUUAUCGCUCGCCCUUGAUGAUGACAAGAAACCCACUCCUCCUCCACAAAAACCAGCGCCCGGGAAUGAUGACUUCGAUUUGACCGAUGCCAUUGGUGGUGGAGGAGACGAUGACCGAGUGUCACCCAAGCCGCCGAAGCCAAAACCUCAGCCAAACCCCAAGCAGCCUGGCACUUCUGGGAAUGAUAACUGGGAUUUAAACGACGCCCUUGAUGGUGGAGGAAAGGGUGGCGGAGCGUCACCCGACUCACCGAACUCAAAACCUCAGCCAGACCCCAAGCAGCCUGACUCUAACGAGGAAUCGCCAGGCGUGAUCCCGGGGAUCGUGGGUGCCAUCGUGGUGGCCUUGGGAGGCGCCAUCUCCAGCUUCAUCGCCUACCAGAAGAAGAAGCUGUGCUUCAAAGAGAAUGCCGAAGAAGGCGAGGUGAAUAUGGAGAACCAUCGCACCAAGGCUGAGCCAGCAGGUGAGACAGGGUGGGAGCCUUAUCCCUCAUCGUCACCCACUGUCAUCCCCACCUGCAUCCCCACCGUGGCUGUCUCCCCUCUUCCAACCGCUGCCCUGCCCGCCCACUCAGAGGGGGUUGGGAGUGGAGAGGCCUGGAGAGGCCUUGAAAAGAAAAAAAAAAUCACAUGUUCUUGUGUCUUUGUCCUCUGCAGUCCAACAGACUCUUCUGGAGAAAUAAAGACGUUUGGCAGCCAGGUAACCGCAGCGGAUCGCGAGCUUGCCUGCCGAGCCGCUCCAGAGAUGGGCUGGAGGAGCAGAGAUGACCCCUUGGGACCUCACUCUGGCUUGUCCGUGCCUUCUCAAGCUGGAUUCCUCGUUUCACCGCUGGGAUGCUUUAUUCCCCACUCCCCUCUCCACCACGUCCCCCUCCGCCGGGCUGGGCGGGUGAAACUUGACUUGUGGUGA